GCCUAGGGGGCGUGCUACCAUGCAAGUCGUACGAGAAAGGGGCUUCGGCCCUGAGUAGAGUGGCGCACGGGUGAGUAACGCGUGGGUAAUCUACCCUUGGAUUUGGGAUAACUCUGCGAAAGUGGAGCUAAUACCGGAUAGUCUGGCUUUAAAUAAGAAGUCGGUAAAGGAUGCCUCUGCAUAUGCAUUCGUCCGAGGAUGAGCCCGCGUCUCAUUAGCUAGUUGGUAGGGUAAUGGCCUACCAAGGCAACGAUGAGUAGCUGGUCUGAGAGGAUGAUCAGCCACACUGGAACUGAAACACGGUCCAGACUCCUACGGGAGGCAGCAGUGGGGAAUAUUGCGCAAUGGGCGAAAGCCUGACGCAGCAACGCCGUGUGAGGGAUGAAGGCUUUCGGGUCGUAAACCUCUGUCGGAAGGGAAGAACGGGCAUUGGUCUAAUAGGCCUUUGUUUUGACGGUACCUUUAGAGGAAGCACCGGCUAACUCCGUGCCAGCAGCCGCGGUAAUACGGAGGGUGCAAGCGUUAUUCGGAAUUACUGGGCGUAAAGCGCACGUAGGCGGCCUUGUAAGUCAGGGGUGAAAUCCCACGGCUCAACCGUGGAACUGCCUUUGAAACUGCAGGGCUUGAAUCCUGGAGAGGGUGGCGGAAUUCCUGGUGUAGGAGUGAAAUCCGUAGAUAUCAGGAGGAACACCGGUGGCGAAGGCGGCCACCUGGACAGGUAUUGACGCUGAGGUGCGAAAGUGUGGGGAGCAAACAGGAUUAGAUACCCUGGUAGUCCACACCGUAAACGAUGGAUACUAGUGUCGGGGACUUGAUCUUC
rnacentral:rRNA from 1 species